GCCAAGAUCAUCAUUUCUGGACUUUCUUUGCUGGAACACGAACUGCCGCCUCCCAGAAUGCUUUGCAUGGGGACGUGCGUCUGACGUCACGUAUCCAGAAAAUUCGAAAUGGCUGCACACGAAUUUGAAAGUUUCCCGCGUGAAGCCGUGGAGCUCGAGAUCCUGUUUACUGUGGACUAGCUGUGUG